CCCCACCCCGCCCCGGAAGCGGUGCCUGCAGCUGCCGGACUCGCUGCUCACUUUGAGCUAAAGAAAGGCUGGGCCCCGCGCCAGGGUGAGGCUGUGAGCUGAGGCCUGCACCUCGGGUUGCCUGGGCGGAGGCGGCGGCCGGGGAUUCUCUGAGAGUCGCUGCCCCCGGGAGCGCAGGCCUGGGAGGUGGCCCGCGGUGCGCCAGGCCCUGAGGGGUUGGGGUCUCCACUCUGUGCACCCCUGCUCCUCCCAUCUCCUGUCUGAAGCCAGCCUCCUCUUCCCCACGUGCACAGCAGAUAUUCUCCUGAGCACCUACUGUGUGCCUGACCCUGCUCGACUUCAGAGGAUACAAAGAGGAGCCCCUCCUAGUCCCUGUCCCUCCCGAGGAGCCCAUGGUUGAGGUUAGGUGGAAUCUGACCAAGAAGCUGAUGAAGAAACCGGGCGGUUCUAAGGCGAGUGGGAUGGAGAAAGGGAGGCAGGUGGUCUCAAAGACUGGCCUUCCCGCAGGACACAGGCCUGAGGACAGGGAGCGAGCGUCUGAGCAUGUAGGAGAAGGUGGGGGGCGAGACUGGAAGAAAGCCAACUGUACCCGGUCUUGAAGGGGCUCGUGGGCCAGGUAAAGGGCUUGGAGAGUUUCAUCUGAGGGUACUGGGGAGCCACCGAAAGUUGUAGGGAGGGUGAGUAUUGAGAGUAGACAUGGGAUAUGGGGAAGGUUUCCGCAGCAGAGUUGAGGGGGCCUGCGGGCAGUCACCGCACAUUCGGGACCCGCUUAAGGAAGGGGCACGAGGGCUUGCCAGGGAGUUGCCAAGGGGACCUGCUCUGUGUGGCCACCCCCCUUCUAAACUGACAGCACUGAAGAGGGAGGGAGAUGCGACUAGGAGUGAGUCACAUCUGGAGGCCAGGCCAGCACCCACCCACCCCUCCCGGCCUCCCCAGCCGAGCCCCCCCACCCCCACACCCCACUUUUGUCCAGAUGACUGAAGCCCGCCCCCCCCCUGCACCAGAUGACAGGGGUGUGUGUAGGGCCGCCCUCUGUGUGGGGGACCCAGAGAAGGGGGCUGCACCCAGGAGCCCCCUCCCUCUCCCCAGGCCAGUGUCGCCUGGUAACCCAACCACAGAAGCUUCACUUUUUCCUGUGUGCCUCCCCAAAACCUCAGUCCUAGGGAGGGGCCGCCGGACCAGCCCAGCUCCACUCCUCUCCCAGAGAUGCUCCCUGCCACGUCACAACGGGGCCUCAGGAGGUGCCCCAGACCCAGGACCAGAGGAGCUCUGGGCAGGGCGCCUGUCCCAGCCCAGGAGUGACCUGGAGAGUGGCCAGCACCAGGGAGUGCUUGCUCCUGGGCAGGGACGGGUCACUUCCGUCAGGGUCCAGCAGCAUGGCCGAGGGUGCAGGUCCCCAGGAAGGCCCCACUGGGGUCUGGGGACUUGGGUUCUGCUUCUAACCCUGUUGUGCUCCCCCACCCCCAGGGAAUCCUGGCCGCCCGGGCUCCCGGCUUGCCUCAGUCUCCCCAUCUGCAAACUGGGCCUGUGAAAUGCUGCUCUCCUGCUCAAGGGUCACACAGGGCCUGACUCGGGUCAGUGACUCAGGCAUCUCAGGUUUCAACUUCCCUCUGGCCCUUAGGGCCCUUUCUCCCAGACUGAGUUUAUCUUCCUGGGGGGAUCUGAGAGGACUUGCCCUCUGGUUCCUAACAUGGAUAACUGGGCUCUCAGGGAGACAAAAGAUACCCAUGCCAGGCAUAGAAGCCCACACCUGUAAUCCCAGUAUCUUGGGAGGCUGAGGUAGGAGGAUGGAGAGUUCAAAGCCAGCCUCCUUGGCAAAAGCAAGACACUAAGCAACUCAGACUCUGAAUCUAAAUAAAAUACAAAAUAGGGCUGGGGGUGUGGUUCAGUGGUCCACUGCCCCUGAGCUCAAUCCCAGGUACUCCCCCUGCCCCCCAAAAAACCAGAGACCUUUACUAGAGACCCAGAUCUACGAGCAUGAGCAUGUCCAGCCCUUUGGUUAGAUGAACAAAGUCUCCAGUGCGUGCCUGUGUUCCAGAUCAACUAGAACAAAAGCAUAGUCAAUUUAAAUGUCACCAGAUUCAAAGACCUACACAGGGAGCCCACAGCUGAUUUCAGGCUGGAUUGCUCAACCAGGAAGCAACAUUCUGAACCCCAAAUAUCAAAGGACUGAUGUGGGGUUUAAUUUUCACAGAAGCUUGCUGGAAAGUCGUACUUUUCUUCCUAGGAAAACCCUAUGUAUAGUCAGAUAGCUCUGCCCUGGGGACAUCGCUCUCUUCCCUGAAUGAGGGGUCUCUGCACCCUGCUUUGGGGUAUGUAGACCUUUGCUGUGUUUUAUUUUUAUUUAAGAUUUUUUUUAAUUUUUAUUUUUUUGGUACUGGGGAUUGAACCCAUGGCACUUAACCUUGGAGCCAUGUCCCCAGCCCCAUUUUCAUUUUGUUUAGAGACAGUGUCUCACCGAGUUGCCGGGCACCUUGCCAUUGCUGAGACUGACUUUGAACUCACAAUCCUCCUGCCUCAGCCUCCCAAGUUGGUAGGAUUACACAUGUGUGCCACCACACCAGAUCUGCUUUGCUGUUUUUAAACAAAUCUUUGCUUGUGACUUGCUCUUGGUGUGUCUCAACGUGUCUUUUCAGUGGUGUAAGCCUAGAACCUGCCUGGCCGAGUUGAGGACCCAAUGCUCCCCUUGGAAGGGUCUUCACAGAUCCUGGGACAUUCCUUUGGCAAUCCAGAUGGCACUCUAAACUGAGGAACCACCCGUGCUGAGUUGAACUGAAUGCUUUGAACCCAGGGGCAAGUAACCACGGAGCCACAUCCCCAGCCCUUUUUAUUUUUUAUGUAGUUCAGGGCCUCAGCUAAGUUGCUGAGGCUGGCCUUGAACUCAUGAACCUCCUGCCUCAGCCUCCCUUGGUGCUGGGGUUGCCCGGCUACAUUCUUUCUCCUAUUUCAUGCUGCAGAGUUUCUGUUUCUGACCUGCUGCUUUUUGUUUCUCACAGUGCAAGCUGAGCUCCUGCUUCACCCUGCUCUGCGGCCUCUGGGAGUGAACCCUCCUAAAGGACACGCCCAGCCUCUUUUCAUUUUUAGCAUUUAUAUCCCUCCAGGUCUCCCACUGCCCUUGCAUUUCUCUUCGCCCAGCCCCCCCCCCAUGUAAAGUUGUGAAACUCUGAAACGCCUCACCAGCACAGCCCCAAAGGAAAAUGCCCAGUUGCAGGGUUUGAUUAUUUCUGAAGAACACACCCCCCUGUUGGCUUUGUUUAAGGACCCAGUGGCUGCCCCUCCCUGGCACCAGACGGUUCCCCUUAGGCUCAUCUUGUUGUGUGCCUCAUGCCCACGUCCGCCCCAAAGAAUUCUUUGUGAGGAUUUUGUGUCAUUUCUAUUCUGUUCUUAAGGAAAUUUGUUUCAGGGCUCACUUGGGUGAGAUUAGACUUUGAACUUAAAGACUCAAGGGGUGGGGCGGGGGCUCUGGUUUUCCUAAUUUUGGGAACCAGAACUCAGAAGCUUUGGAGUGUCUGGUAGUCAGAGGAGUCGCAUUUCCCCUGAGAACUCGGGGUAUCUCCAGGGAUGCGGGGAGCAAAUGUUGCCCCAGGAGGAAGGCUUCGUCCUCGGGCUAUUUGGUGGCAGCAGCAGCCAGGUGAGGCUGGCCGAACUGGGGUACCGGAGCUCCGGGGGAUCUGAGUAUCUCAUAGUCUUUCUUUCUUUCCUUUUGAUCUCCACCUGCAGGUUCGAAAUUCUUUCAGCUGUUAAAAUAUGGGAAAUUCAACGUCUAUCCCUGUAAACUCACUUGGGAUUCCAUAUUAAAUAGUUGAAAUUUCUACACUCAAAGCACAGAUUUACAAGGCUCGGCGUAGGGUCCCAUGUUAGUAGAAGGCACGAGAAAGAUCUGUGAGUAAACCAGUGAGUCAUGAUCAAGUCCCGGGAGUGACUCGGGGAGAGAAUGGGAACCUGUUUGGGUCUUGAUUAGACUGAAACCUUAAGAAGUGAACGAACACUGACCCAAGUUCUCAGGAGGGAUGGAGUCUCCUGGGCACCAGCUGCAGACUUGAGGAGAGAAUUUCAAAAGCCAACUCCGGGUCCUCAGUCCCCUGUCACCCAAUUUUUAAAUUUGACCUUUGGGGCAUUCAACAAAAAGAUAAAGGGCCCCAUGAAAUCUUGGAGACAGCGACGGGAGAACAAGCCCAGGGCUUGCCCUGACCACAGGCCCGGCCCCUCAGAGAUGAUAUCCAAGGGCUCCACGCCAAAGAGGGAAAAGAGUUGGAGACCUAGAGGAUGUCACCAUGGCAGACUGUCCCCAGCAGGGCCCAUCGACACAGGGGCCGUGCCCCCUUCAUAGAGAGGGGGACCCUGGGGAAGAGAUUGCCUCACCUCCGGAGAGGGACAGGAGGCCAUCUGCCCCAUCAAGGUGCUGCCCCAUCAAGGUGCCCUGGAAGACAGAUGCCUGAGGCCUCUCAAGUCCCCUUUGACCUUCUGGACGUCACCACAGAAGAGGCUCAGAGACUCUUGAUGUGGCAGCCUGUGGAUACUGGAGCUCAACUCUCUGCCUUUCUAAUCAAACUGCGUGGCCACUGCACCCUGAGGCCAGUUGACUCGCAGAGCCUUUCACUUGCAGAUUUAAAAACCUG
rnacentral:lncRNA from 1 species